rnacentral:rRNA from 1 species
GUUCCCUACGGGAGGCAGCAGUGGGGAAUAUUGCACAAUGGGGGGAACCCUGAUGCAGCGACGCCGCGUGGGUGAAGGGGCGUUUCGGCGCGUAAAGCCCUCUCGUCAGGGAAGAAGGAGGACGGGACCUGACUAAGAAGCCCCGGCUAACUACGUGCCAGCAGCCGCGGUAAUACGUAGGGGGCAAGCGUUAUCCGGAAUUACUGGGGGUAAAGGGAGCGUAGACGGUGAUGCAAGUCUGGAGUGAAAGUCGGGGGCCCAACCCCCGGACUGCUCUGGAAACUGGAUGAAUUUAGUGCAGGAGG